rnacentral:tRNA from 1 species
UGUCCCCAUCGUCUAGCGGCCUAGGACGCCACCCUUUCAAGGUGGAUAUCGCGGGUUCGAAUCCCGCUGGGGGCACCC